UACGUAGGGUGCAAGCGUUAAUCGGAAUUACUGGGCGUAAAGCGUGCGCAGGCGGUGAUGUAAGACAGAUGUGAAAUCCCCGGGCUCAACCUGGGAACUGCAUUUGUGACUGCAUCGCUGGAGUGCGUCAGAGGGGGAUGGAAUUCCGCGUGUAGCAGUGAAAUGCGUAGAUAUGCGGAGGAACACCGAUGGCGAAGGCAAUCCCCUGGGCCUGCACUGACGCUCAUGCACGAAAGCGUGGGGAGCAAACAGG
rnacentral:rRNA from 1 species